rnacentral:rRNA from 1 species
UACGUAGGUGGCAAGCGUUGUCCGGAAUUAUUGGGCGUAAAGCGCGCGCAGGCGGUCCUUUAAGUCUGAUGUGAAAGCCCACGGCUCAACCGUGGAAGGUCAUUGGAAACUGGGGGGACUUGAGUACAGAAGAGGAAAGCGGAAUUCCAAGUGUAGCGGUGAAAUGCGUAGAGAUUUGGAGGAACACCAGUGGCGAAGGCGGCUUUCUGGUCUGUAACUGACGCUGAGGCGCGAAAGCGUGGGGAGCAAACAGG